rnacentral:lncRNA from 1 species
AUUUCUUUCUUUUUUUUUUUUUCUCAAAACUUCCUUUUGGAAAAAAUAUAUAUAGAGAGAUUUUAAUAAGUUUGGUAUUCCGGCUUAAACGCUUUCAACAAGUGUAGUGAUUUCCCAUAGACAGAUAGGCGAUUGUAGUUCUAUUCUGGAGCAUUGCAGCACUACUGAACAAUUCAAAAGCAAUGUAUUACAUUGUUGUGUUUGUAAUGGUGCUUGGGGUGUCCCUGGCGUACAACUGUGGUGAUGCACCAGACACGAAUGGUUGCAAUGCGUGGGACAUUGUUCCGUACAAACACACUUUCGCACCGGCUUGCAACAAGCACGAUGUCUGCUACUCAUGUGGAGACACAUUCGGCGUAAGCAAAGAUCGAUGUAAUAAGGCAUUCAAGAAUGACAUGUAUAAAAUUUGUAACGGUUGGUGGUGCAGAAGAUGGGCUGGAAUUUAUUACAAAGCUGUUGACUGGUUUGGUCAUGGUUACAAAAGACCCUCUCACUCCUGGUGUAGACAAGAAACUUGGUUUAGGACUGAAUGUAUGCCAUAAAACUGAUGCUGAAAACGCCGACAAGUGACUUUUUAUGAAACAUUAUACAUUCGUUAUUCUUCAAAAUUCUUUGUUCAAUAAAGCGAAUAUGCAUUAAACAAUCUGUAUCGGUUAAAAUAAAUACUAUUAAUCUGUUUAGUCUACUUUAAAAAGUGAACAGACUACAUGAAUCCAAAUAAAACUUAAUACCGUUUUGA